ACACGGAGCUUGCUCUGUGGGAUCAGUGGCGAACGGGUGAGUAACACGUGAGCAACCUGCCCCUGACUCUGGGAUAAGCGCUGGAAACGGCGUCUAAUACUGGAUAUGUGACGUGACCGCAUGGUCUGCGUCUGGAAAGAAUUUCGGUUGGGGAUGGGCUCGCGGCCUAUCAGCUUGUUGGUGAGGUAAUGGCUCACCAAGGCGUCGACGGGUAGCCGGCCUGAGAGGGUGACCGGCCACACUGGGACUGAGACACGGCCCAGACUCCUACGGGAGGCAGCAGUGGGGAAUAUUGCACAAUGGGCGCAAGCCUGAUGCAGCAACGCCGCGUGAGGGACGACGGCCUUCGGGUUGUAAACCUCUUUUAGCAGGGAAGAAGCGAAAGUGACGGUACCUGCAGAAAAAGCGCCGGCUAACUACGUGCCAGCAGCCGCGGUAAUACGUAGGGCGCAAGCGUUAUCCGGAAUUAUUGGGCGUAAAGAGCUCGUAGGCGGUUUGUCGCGUCUGCUGUGAAAUCCGGAGGCUCAACCUCCGGCCUGCAGUGGGUACGGGCAGACUAGAGUGCGGUAG
rnacentral:rRNA from 1 species